AAGCAUCUGACUAUCUUCUAUCACAGGGCCAGGUACUCAAAAUAUAUUUAUUGAAUACAGUUGAAUAUAUUCUGUGAUCAUCCCUGAUCAUGUUAAGUUCUAUUGGGUCCAUACUAUUUAGUAGCCUAACCCAGGUAGGACUAAAACUAAGCCACUUGUUUGUGCAGCAGUUUCUGAUUACAAGUGGUUUAUAUUCCUGUCCGCACUCAGUGAAGAGGAGCUACCACUGUUAGUAUUUCCAUAAUGUGAAUAGAUGAGAAAACCAAAGCAUAGAGAGGUUAGAUGGUCUGCCCAGGGUCAUGCAGUUUGUAAGUUGCAGUGGCCCACAGCCCAGCUCUCUCUCAGGACCCUGAGAGGUAAGGCUGGAUGAACAUUGCUGACUGUUAAAAGCACCUGACCACUGAGCCAGGUGAGAUGCGCCCACCCCUACUUGUCUGCUGCUCCUGAAGAUUCACAGGUAAAUUGAGCCUCUUCUUAUUGGAUUCUAUUUUGAACUCAUGGUGCUGGGGGUUGUCCUAGAUUAAAGGACACAUGAGGUGGGGAGUUGCAAAGCAUAGGAAAAAAAAAGUAAAGCACAGAAUGUGUAGCAAACUUGGGCCGAUGCUGCAUUUUCUACCUUCUGUCUGCACUGGAUUCCUUAUAAUUUGUCUUGCACAAAUUGGGAUAAAUACAAACAAGCACACAUAUGUAAAUUCAUUCAUUUAAAAAAUAAUCUUUCUGAACCUUAAUUUUUCCUCGCUGGGAAUGAUAGUCUUUUGUGCAAGGAUGUCACACAAAUUUAAUGAGAAAACUCAUAUAAAUGGGCCUUGCAUGGUGACAGAGCUGGCAUUUCCAGACUGUUUUCCUUCUAACUUUCUACCAUGCAACCUCUAUUUGACAGUAUCUGUGGACUGGUUUGCUGAUUGCUCACAAGCCCCAGAAGAAAGGAGGGGGAAAAAUCAUACAAACUGCCCUAAGUUUUGGGCCACUCAGCAGCCAGCCCUCCCUAAAAAUUCUGAGAUAAGAGAAACAUUGCCAAUAGAAGUACUGUGAUCCCCCAGACCUGAGUGCCCUUCCUGGCUUUUGCCUUCCUGGCUCACAAAGCCUCCUAACCCUUUGCAUUCUCUACUUACUCUUAUUCUGUAUCUGGUUGCUGGGGUAUCCUUCCUUUUUGACCAUGAGUGGCAGUUACCUCUGGCCUGUAAAGGAAUUAUUCAGAUGCCAAAAAUUUGGAGAUAGCCAGUUAACUCAGGAAAUGGUAUCCGGAGAAGAAGCAGGAGUGACACAUCUUUGGGGUUCCUGGGUAGCCAUGUAGCACAUAGUUGGAGGGGGCAGGCUUUGAGUCACUCAGAACUGGGUUAGAAUCCUGACUCUGUGGCUUACUGGUUUUCCAGCUUUGUUCCAGUUACUCAGUCCCCUGGGCUUCAGUUUCUUUACUUACAAAAUGGGGAUGUUAAUAACAGUAAUACCUAUAACUAUGGGGCUAUGUUGAGGAUGAAAUAAAAUGAUGUAUAAAAAUCAAUGAGAACACUGCCUGGUACAUAGUGGGCUACCAUGAAUUUUCUGUCCUCAGCCAUGACUAGCUGGAAUGGCCUUUUCCUUCUUAGCUCCUGCUUUUCCUUGAAUCUCAUCCCUUUGAGUGUUCUGCCCUAACACGUCAAGCCAAAUUCUGUGACUUCCUCUUCUGAGGCCCAGAGGUCUGCCAUCUGACCUAUAGAGUCCCUGCACCUGCGUCCUUGACUGGGUUCUGAAGCCCCCUUGACACAGUGCUCAGGAGAAACUCAAAGAGGAAAUGAAAGGCAGAGUCCCUUGUAUCAAUGACAGCAGCCCAGGCUCCCUCAACCUUUGCCUUGGCAAACCGACUCAGACAGUAUUUUCAUUUGAUUCUGUCUUUCUUGGCUUUGGUUGUGACUCAUAAAGCUAUUCAAGCCACUCUAUUUUCUCUGCCCCUGAGAGACUAAAUGGUCCUAUGGAGUGUGAACCAGAGAGGAGAGAGGUCUUGGGAGACCCAGUGGCCACCAUGCCUGAAGGUUAGAGGGGAGAACCAUGCAUGCGUCAUACAAAAGAAAGGGAAGUGGACGCUUUGGCUUGGCCGCUGGAGCGCUAUUAUGCCUCUAGCCAUUCCUUUGCCGGCCUCCCAAUUAUGGCUGCAAUUUGGCAGCCAUUUCCUUGCCCUGGGGUGGAAGGGGUCCCUGCAAAGAUGAGUAAACUGAGGCCAAGGAGCUCCAACUAGCUCUUUGGCUGCUCAAGAACAGGGACAAAUAUGUCUUACUUAUCUCUGUAUCCUGAGUACAGAGUUCCAGAACAGGCCUCUGAUAAAUAUUCACGGAUAUUAAAGGCCAUAAAGCAGAGCCAGGAUUCAAACUCAAAAUCCCCCCAAGGCCUGUGUUAUCCAGUUAUUGGAGUGAGUAUGAAAGUGUUUCUAAAAGAGGAGUGGGCAGUAAAUGUCCAGAGAGGAUUGAGGGGAAUUCUGAGUAAAAUCCAAGAGCCUGCCUUUUUUGCAUUUCAAUCUCAUUUGCCAUUGUUAAAAUAAAGGAGCUGACCAGAGGGCUGACGCAGUCCCAUCAGUUUAAGACUUCAGAAGUGGGAAACAGCAGGAACUGGCCUACUGUUGAAAUUAUGAUGGAAAAAAAAAAGGAACUAUAAAACAAUAGCAAUAGCUCACCCUUGUAGAACUCUUACUAUUGCCAGGCAUUGUUCCAAAUGCCCUACAUAUUUUAACUCACUGAAUUUUCAUGACUACACUAUCAGGUGGCAACUAUUUUUAGAAAUGACUCCCCCAAGUUCACAUAAGUCGGAGUUUAUUCAUUUCAUUGCUGCAUAGUAUUGCCGUUUGUGAGUAUACAUAAUCUAUUUAUUCACUCUGCUCUUGCUGGACAUUCGGUUACUUUCUAGUUUGGGGCUGUUACAAAUGGUGCUUCGGUGAACAUUCUUAUGCAUGUCUUUUGGUACUAAUUUGGUCUUGGGGUGGAGUUUCUGGGUUAUAGGAUAUGUAUCUGUUCUGAUUUAGCCAUUUGAGCUGUGGGACAUAAUUGCAUCAUUGGCUAUAAAGACUGCUUUCCUGAGGGGGUACUUGUUUAGAAGUUCCAGGCCGGACUUGGCUACCCUUGAUUGACCACUUGAGAAGCCUGAUAAUGGCAGGGAAUUGGGCUACCUGGGGAGCACUGUUGCCAAGGAAAAAAGCAAGCUGGUGUAGCAAGGAGGUCAGAAGGGCUAUCUGACCUGCACGGAUCAUGCACUCAAGAGUCAGGGCUACAAGGAGCCUGCCAGAGGCCUCGGAGGAUCUAGAGAGGCCUGUUGUGUUCUAGGCUCCUGCAUUUGGGGCCUUAGUGACGUUAUAGCUUUCCAGUAAAUCACAUCUCCACUUUCUAGGGAGUACAGAACACUUUUCUUUUAGGGCCACAUUUAACCCAUCCAGCUUCCCUCUUGGGAAUGCUGUCCAGUACUUCCCUUGCAAGUGAAGGCUUAGCUUGGUGACUGGCACAUAGUGAGCACUAGGUUAGCACUGACACUUAUUUGCAUAACAAAAAAGGGAGAACAGAAGUAAUUUACAUGGAGCGACUGCUGUGUGCCUGUCAUUAUACUAGGGAUUGCAUGUAUGUGUCCCUCUUAAUCCUCCCAACCACUCUGCAGGUGCGAACUGUUACUCUCCCAUCUUAUCAGCUAGGGAAAAAAAGGCCAGAGAGAGAAGGGACUUGCUCAGGGUUAGCUGUGAAUGAGAUGAAGCCUGGAUGAGAAUUCUAGUUCUGAGAGAGAGAGUUUCAGAGCUGGGAUGACAUGCUGGGUGUCUGGACCCUCAGAACCAUCCACUAGCCAGCUGCAUUGGUUUCCUGUGGCUGCUAUAACAAAUUACCACAAACUUGGUGAUGUAGAACAAUAGAAAUCUCUUCUCUCACAGUUCUGGAAGCCAGGAGUUCAAAAUCAGUAUC
rnacentral:lncRNA from 1 species